UAUACAGAAAUGGGCCAAAUUGCUCAUGGUC
rnacentral:piRNA from 1 species